CAGCAGCCGCGGUAAAACGAGGGGGGCAAGCGUUGUUCGGAAUUAUUGGGCGUAAAGGGCGCGUAGGCGGUUUGGCAAGUUUGGUGUGAAAUCUUCGGGCUCAACUCGAAGUCUGCAUCGAAAACUGCCGGGCUUGAGUAUGGGAGAGGUGAGUGGAAUUUCCGGUGUAGCGGUGAAAUGCGUAGAUAUCGGAAGGAACACCUGUGGCGAAAGCGGCUCACUGGACCAUAACUGACGCUGCGGCGCGAAAGCUAGGGGAGCAAACAGGAUUAGAUACCCGCGUAGUCCCUGUCUCUUAUAC
rnacentral:rRNA from 1 species